rnacentral:rRNA from 2 species
GAACGAGUGGCGGACGGGUGAGUAACACGUGGGUAACCUGCCCUUAAGUGGGGGAUAACAUUUGGAAACAGAUGCUAAUACCGCAUAGAUCCAAGAACCGCAUGGUUCUUGGCUGAAAGAUGGCGUAAGCUAUCGCUUUUGGAUGGACCCGCGGCGUAUUAGCUAGUUGGUGAGGUAAUGGCUCACCAAGGCGAUGAUACGUAGCCGAACUGAGAGGUUGAUCGGCCACAUUGGGACUGAGACACGGCCCAAACUCCUACGGGAGGCAGCAGUAGGGAAUCUUCCACAAUGGACGCAAGUCUGAUGGAGCAACGCCGCGUGAGUGAAGAAGGCUUUCGGGUCGUAAAACUCUGUUGUUGGAGAAGAAUGGUCGGCAGAGUAACUGUUGUCGGCGUGACGGUAUCCAACCAGAAAGCCACGGCUAACUACGUGCCAGCAGCCGCGGUAAUACGUAGGUGGCAAGCGUUAUCCGGAUUUAUUGGGCGUAAAGCGAGCGCAGGCGGUUUUUUAAGUCUGAUGUGAAAGCCCUCGGCUUAACCGAGGAAGCGCAUCGGAAACUGGGAAACUUGAGUGCAGAAGAGGACAGUGGAACUCCAUGUGUAGCGGUGAAAUGCGUAGAUAUAUGGAAGAACACCAGUGGCGAAGGCGGCUGUCUGGUCUGUAACUGACGCUGAGGCUCGAAAGCAUGGGUAGCGAACAGGAUUAGAUACCCUGGUAGUCCAUGCCGUAAACGAUGAAUGCUAGGUGUUGGAGGGUUUCCGCCCUUCAGUGCCGCAGCUAACGCAUUAAGCAUUCCGCCUGGGGAGUACGACCGCAGGUUGAAACUCAAGGAAUUGACGGGGGCCCGCACAAGCGGUGGAGCAUGUGGUUUAAUCGAAGCAACGCGAAGAACCUUACCAGGUCUUGACAUCUUUUGAUCACCUGAGAGAUCAGGUUCCCCUUCGGGGGCAAAUGACAAGUGGUGCAUGGUG